rfam:Hydatigera taeniaeformis genome assembly, scaffold: TTAC_scaffold0001579
AUCCCUGUGGCCUAAUGGAUAAGGCGUGGGUUUCCGGAGCCGAAGACUGUGGGUUCGAGUUCAGCUCGGGAUG